rnacentral:lncRNA from 1 species
UCUCAUUUCGCUGUGGCCCGGCGGGAACUUGGCCAUAGACUAACACUGCAAGGAUCAGCCUUGGGGAACCUCCUAGAACACCCUGUUUAGAGGGGAUGGCAUUCUCAAGACGCUGCUGGGGGAAGCGCUGAGCUAGGACCCAGAGGCCAGGGUUCAAGUUCCGUCCUUGCUCCUGUAGCUGAAAGUUCACCCUCUGUGCCUUGGCACUGACACCUGCGAGGCCGCAGCCUCCUCCUAGCUGUGUGACCUUGGACAAGCCACCUACCUGUCUAGGCCUAUUUCUCACCUGCCAAGGGAGGGGGCUGGAGAUCAGCACCGGCCUAUGGUAAGGGUCCCGUAAAGAGCAGCUGUGAUUGUUACGUGCAAUAACUUCUUCCCGACCCUUUCUUUUGACUCUCACUUACUUGUUUUAUAGAUCAUAAGGACCACCCGAAUGAAUCAUUUCUAGACUUAAAGGCUCUCCGAAUGGAAACAAAUGUCCAGAAGACAUCGGACGCAAAACCUGACGGGCCAGCUUUCUCAAGAAUAAAGAUCAGAGCGCCUCAGAACGGCCCUGUCAACUCAGCCGUCCCGGACAUCAAGUCAGGGAAGAUGGAUGUGGUUGAGGCUUUAGAUCUCAGUGAAAAGUUGGUAUGUGCAUCCAGCGUGGUCCCCCCCCCCCCCGUCCAAACGUGGGGUCCCCUGCAGUCGCUGUUAACCACCGGAUAGGGUAACUAAACACCAGCCUCGCGUGCGUAUUCAGUUGUUACGAAAGCUCUGCAGGACCAUCUACUGUCCCAGCGUGGCUCAGACUUUGCAAUCCCUUGAAAAACUGGGUAGUUGGCAUGAAUGUUUAGGUCUGUUGUCACUCUUCCCCCUGGUUCUCCAAAAGGCACAGCGUCCAUGGAUAUGGAGGAAAUGAAAGUCGCACUAACAGCCCCGUUGGAUUCGCUUCCAAGCACGGGCUUGUUCUCUGCAAUUGCAGAAAGUGAACAAAACAAAAUUAGACGCUUGCCUCCUCAAAGUGGCCUCCGGCGGCCUCGCGCCAGGCCCCUUAACUGCCAAACGCUUUCCUCGUAGUACAUGGACAUGAGCAAAACACUCGGGAGC